AACGCACAUUGCACCUUCUGGUAUUCCAGGAGGUAUGUCUGUUCGAGCGUCAUUACAACCCUCAAGCUCUAGCUUGGUAUUGGAUGUCACUAAUCUGGUGCAUCUCAAAAGCAGUGGCGGUGCCAUUCAGCUUCAAGCGCAGUAAAUCUCUCGCUGUGGAGUCUGGGUGCAGUGCCUGCCAGAACCCCUAAAUUCAAAGGUUGACCUCGGAUCAGAUAGGGAUACCCGCUGAACUUAA
rnacentral:misc_RNA from 1 species